AAGUCGUAACAAGGUUUCCGUAGGUGAACCUGCGGAAGGAUCAUUCAUAAUGAGUGUAUAAUGGCACUCUUCAAAAUCCAUUACCCACCUUGUGUGCAAUGUCGAAAGAGGUCGUAGCUUUUUUGGUUACUUCCUCUUUUCAUACAUACUCGUUUUGAUUGCAGUAUCCAGUCUACAUAUCUAGAGUAAUAAAAAAACUCGAAAUACAACUUUCAACAACGGAUCUCUUGGCUCUC
rnacentral:misc_RNA from 1 species